rfam:Verticillium longisporum isolate VL1 genome assembly, contig: scaffold_167
AGAUAUAACUAUACCUACUAGAGAACUCAGGAUCCCGUCCGCUCUCCUCUAGAUGAGCUAGUAAGGGUCGAAUUGCGUGGGUGACCACCAUCGAAUACCUGGUGUGGUAUGUU